GAUGAACGCUGGCGGCGUGCCUAAUACAUGCAAGUCGAGCGAACGGACGAGCAGCUUGCUUCUCUGAUGUUAGCGGCGGACGGGUGAGUAACACGUGGAUAACCUACCUAUAAGACUGGGAUAACUUCGGGAAACCGGAGCUAAUACCGGAUAAUAUUUUGAACCGCAUGGUUCAAAAGUGAAAGACGGUCUUGCUGUCACUUAUAGAUGGAUCCGCGCUGCAUUAGCUAGUUGGUAAGGUAACGGCUUACCAAGGCAACGAUGCAUAGCCGACCUGAGAGGGUGAUCGGCCACACUGGAACUGAGACACGGUCCAGACUCCUACGGGAGGCAGCAGUAGGGAAUCUUCCGCAAUGGGCGAAAGCCUGACGGAGCAACGCCGCGUGAGUGAUGAAGGUCUUCGGAUCGUAAAACUCUGUUAUUAGGGAAGAACAUAUGUGUAAGUAACUGUGCACAUCUUGACGGUACCUAAUCAGAAAGCCACGGCUAACUACGUG
rnacentral:rRNA from 1 species